GAUGCCUACCCAGUGCUGGAAGGCCGAGGAAGUUGGCGACCUAACAAGAGGGGAGCCGGCGACCGAAGCCCUAGUGAACGGCGGCCGUAACUAUAACGGUCUAAGUAGCGAAAUUCCAAGAAAUGAUUGAGAGUUUACAAAAUCGAAAUGUA
rnacentral:ncRNA from 1 species